UGGGGAAUUUUGGACAAUGGACGCAAGUCUGAUCCAGCCAUGCCGCGUGCGGGAAGAAGGCCUUCGGGUUGUAAACCGCUUUUGUCAGGGAAGAAACGAGUUUCUCUAAUACAGAGACUUAAUGACGGUACCUGAAGAAUAAGCACCGGCUAACUACGUGCCAGCAGCCGCGGUAAUACGUAGGGUGCGAGCGUUAAUCGGAAUUACUGGGCGUAAAGCGUGCGCAGGCGGUUAUAUAAGACAGAUGUGAAAUCCCCGGGCUCAACCUGGGAACUGCCUUUGUGACUGCAUAGCUAGAGUACGGUAGAGGGGGAUGGAAUUCCGCGUGUAGCAGUGAAAUGCGUAGAUAUGCGGAGGAACACCGAUGGCGAAGGCAAUCCCCUGGACCUGUACUGACGCUCAUGCACGAAGGCGUGGGGAGCAAACA
rnacentral:rRNA from 1 species